rnacentral:pre_miRNA from 11 species
UACCGAUGAUGAUGUUGAUGAUGAUGAUGAUGAUCAUCAUCAUCAUCAUCAUCAUGGUGA